rnacentral:rRNA from 1 species
GACGUAGGGGGCGAGCGUUGUCCGGAAUUAUUGGGCGUAAAGAGCUUGUAGGCGGUUUGUCGCGUCUGCUGUGAAAUUUCGGGGCUCAACCCCGAACUUGCAGUGGGUACGGGCAGACUAGAGUGUGGUAGGGGAGACUGGAAUUCCUGGUGUAGCGGUGAAAUGCGCAGAUAUCAGGAGGAACACCGAUGGCGAAGGCAGGCCUCUGGGCCAUAACUGACGCUGAGAAGCGAAAGCAUGGGGAGCGAACAGG